CAAUAGCGUAUAUUUAAGUUGUUGCAGUUAAAAAGCUCGUAGUUGGAUUUCGGAUGGGAUUUGUCGGUCCGUCGUUACGAUGUGCACUGGCCAGUCCUAUCUUGUUGUCGGGGACUAGCUCCUUGGAUUCACUUCCUGGGACUAGGAGCUGACGAGGUUACUUUGAGUAAAUUAGAGUGUUCAAAGCAAGCCUACGCUCUGAAUACAUUAGCAUGGAAUAACACGAUAGGACUCUGGCUUAUCUUGUUGGUCUGUGAGACCAGAGUAAUGAUUAAGAGGGACAGUCGGGGACAUUCGUAUUUCAUUGUCAGAGGUGAAAUUCCUGGAUUUAUGAAAGACGAACUUCUGCGAAAGCAUUUGUCAAGGAUGUUUUCAUUAA
rnacentral:rRNA from 1 species